GUACACGGAUAGUACCACUGAACGGGUUGUGCGCGGAAGGCAGAAGGAGAGGAGUAGAGGUGAUAGUGUGUCAGUAUGCGCCGCUGCUGCAAGCUUCAGGCGCUUCCAGGAGUGCUGAGUAUUUUGUCGGACAUGGCGAAGCCUCGCACCUCAACUUCCUAUCAGGAGCUUCUGCGCAACUCACACCUCCCCGCUCAGCCACUGCCUUUCCUUCCACCACCUCGAUGGGCGGCGGAGCUGUCGCGGGUGCUUCACAGAACCUUCCCCGACGUGGUACAGCAUCACCACACUCGUUUUUUGCAGGUGUUUGUGCACCCAAGUUUUACCACUGCCGCCGGCGUGUCUGGCACGAUGCAACCGCUUGUCGCCAUUGGCGAGUCGCUCUUGGAGCGGAUUGGCGGCCUGUGGAUACUGGCAACAUUUGAGAGCACUCGACGUGAGGAGUAUGCUUCCUUGCUUGCCUUGCUAACCAGCGACACGGCGCUGUGCCGAGUCCUGCGCGAUCACUGGCGCUUGGAGCACAUGGUGCUCACAGAUGCCUCGGCUGACCUGUUUUCGCGUCAGCGCCUCAGCUCCACUAAAGGGCUCAUGUGCUGGCUUUCUUCGCAUGGGAGCGUGAAUGGUGCACAGCCGCUUCCCGAACCAUAUGGCGCAGGCUGCGUCAAAGCGAUGGUUGCCGCAGUGCUUUUAGCGCACGGCAACGACGCAGCAGAGCACUUUGUGAAGUCCGAGGUGCUUCCCUACGUCUUGUAACAUCGAUUAGGCGAUGCCCCUGUCUUGGUUUUCUCACGCCAGUGACGCACCAGUGCAAACUGCAAUAGCUGCUAUGGUUGUCGUCGGGUCAUGCCUCCGAGCCUCUCCUGUCGUCGUGUUUCACUAAGAAGAAGCAU
rnacentral:misc_RNA from 1 species